UACGGAAGGGCAGUGGGGAAUAUUGCACAAUGGGCGCAAGCCUGAUGCAGCCAUGCCGCGUGUAUGAAAAAGGCCUUCGGGUUGUAAAGUACUUUCAGUCGUGAGGAAGGUGUUAAGGUUAAUAACCUUAGCAAUUGACGUUAGCGACAGAAGAAGCACCGGCUAACUCCGUGCCAGCAGCCGCGGUAAUACGGAGGGUGCGAGCGUUAAUCGGAAUUACUGGGCGUAAAGGGCACGCAGGCGGUUAAUUAAGUUGGAUGUGAAAUCCCCGGGCUUAACCUGGGAAUGGCAUUCAAGACUGGUUAGCUAGAGUCUUGUAGAGGGGGUAGAAUUCCAUGUGUAGCGGUGAAAUGCGUAGAGAUGUGGAGGAAUACCGGUGGCGAAGGCGGCCCCUGGACAAAGACUGACGCUCAUGUGCGAAAGCGUGGGGAGCAAACAGGGAUUAGAUACC
rnacentral:rRNA from 1 species